UGGGGGUUUAGCUCAGUUGGGAGAGCACCUGCCUUGCAAGCAGGGGGUCGCGAGUUCGAAUCUCGCAAUCUCCAG
rnacentral:tRNA from 1 species